AUGAGGGUGAGUAGUUAAUGAAAUUAUUUUCAUUUUUGGGUGAACUAACCCUUUAACUCCCUGGAGCCUUAUGGAUUAGUUAUGGUGGAUGGAUGCAUUUAUUUUUGGCUUCAAAACAGGCCCCACCCCCGAUCACUAUCAUUAUAAAUCUUUGGAGAACAAGAAUAUUAAAUGUAUCUCCGAUUGUGUUCGUCUGAAAGAAGAAAGUCAUAUACACCUAUGAAUGGCUUGAGGGUGAGUAAAUAAUGAGAUAAUUUUCAUUUUUGGGUGAACUAUCCCUUUAAAGCGCUGCUUUCAUUGAAGCACACGCACAUACGUCUCUCGCGCUGUACUUGCAUUGACGGAGAUCAGAAACAUUUUAGACUAGAGCACAGAAACGUAUUAAACUGCCCCGCGACUUUAAUAAAAUAGCUUUGUUACUUAUAUUUCUUAGCAACGAAGGUAUAACAUCGCUUUUGAAGUAGUUAAACUCAGAGCUUCGUUGUUAAUAGAGAGACACUGAACAGACACAGGUUUAUCUGGAGGAAUUAUCUGGAGAAGGCCACCUGUUAGAAUUUCUGUUCAUCUCAAUAGAAGUUGAUUGGGUGGAGCAGGACUCUUCUGAAUAUCAUUGGCCAACUGUACGGUGGAGAAUACAAUGAAUUCUGGAUCAUGGUCGUAGGACAAACGCUCACAGUCCACAGUGGAGUUUCCAACAUUCAACUUGAAACCAUUGCCAUUUUCAUAAGCUGACUGUGGGCUGUAUUCCUGUGCAGCUGGGCUGGGAACUGUAGGUGAUGAUGCUGUUACCAUGACAACGGUUGUCAAAAGUAACAACACACACUUUCACUGUUCCUUUAUUUCCACUGGGAGGAAUGUGAAAUCUUAAAGUGUCACUGGAGCGAUCAAAUACUGGAUAUCUGAAGAGAAACAUUCAUGCACAGUAAAACGUUGUUUCUGCCAUGGAAGGAAACCUUAUUGGGCUCCAGAGAGAAAAUCUCUGGCUCCUACAGGACACAAAUGGAGGGCUCAUUGAAACAUCACUCUAUAUGAUACAACACAGUAUGUAAGUGAUUGAAUAUUUUGUUAUGAGAUUCAACAAAGUAUAUUA